GGGCACCCCGGUGCUGAGCGGGGUGGCCACAGGGUCCCCCCGGGUGCGAGUUGCCACCCCGGCCGCUAGCAGGGUGAAGCCACCGCCUGGGCCACCAGGAGCCGUUGUGAAUGGCUUGUGGUGGCUGGGAAUAACGAGCAAUGUUGGCAGUACUUCCCCGGGGGAGGCUGUGAUUCUCCUGGUUCCUCUGGAGGGAAAAUCAAACUCUUCAUUCCAGCAUGCAAAAGGUUUACUCCUCUCUGUCCUGCAGUCCUGUAAGGCGGUGCCCUGAGCAUCUUUCUGGUCUGUGGCCCUACAGCCUCUUGGCUCGUACACAGCGGGACAGGAGAAAACCAUCUUCAGCACGAGAGUUGGGGAAUUUGCUUCCAUGACAGAGGUGGAGGCGUUUGGGGUCCCUGUGGUGCCCUCAUGAGCUUAUGCCUGUGGGAUCGGGCCCCUGAGCUGUGGGCGCUGCACUGGGGCAGGCAGGGAGCUGGCACGGGGACGGCGCAACGCUGAGGGUCUUGCACAGCCUGGGUCGGCAAAACUGGCCAUGCAGAUCAGGAGAGCCACCGAGAGCUGCUCUGGCUGCUAAAAUCCAGUGCUUUGUGCCUGGGAGCUCAGUCAGUGGGGGGAGGAUAUUUGGAAGGGGAUGGGGAGGUGACACAAGGAGACCUGCACAUUGAAACAUCCCCACAGAACUGGGAGCACCGCUUCAUGUCACCCCCAGCCAGAAUAACUUGCAUUUCUUCAGCAAUUCACCUUUGUUUUCACUGACCUUGGCAUGUUUAAUCAGGGCGGGUAGGGCUGCUCCUUUCCCACAACAUAUAUUCAGGUGGCAAAGAGAACUUCCCGUUUCCUUUCGCACCCAAAACCCUCUGCUUCUGCCCUGGCAGCCUCGGUGCUGCCCCUGCUGCACGGAGCAUCCUCCCUGGCUCCGGCUGCCCCAUCCUUCCUGCCAGCCACGACCGUGUGCCUCGGGAAGCGAGCCUCCAUCCCUCUGCAGCAUGGCACGGCACACGGCUGGGGAGUGUGGGACCAGGUAGGGUGCACGGCUGCAAGGAUACAUGGUUUUGUUCCUCUCAGCAGAGACUGCUUGUUCAUGCAGCACGCCAGCAGCAGGGGUUGGCACACCAUGAGUUGAGCCACCGCACGGUGUGCUCAGCUCCUGCAGGGCUCCAUGGCACUUCCACAGCUGGGGCAGCUCAGCUCCAAAGUCCCUGCCUGAGAUUAUCUCCUCAAGGGGUUACGUCAAAAGCCAGAAUUCAGAUGGUGACACCAUCUGAUGCUUGCUUCAAGACCCAGCUGGGCAAUGCCAGAAAGGUCCCUGAGCAGGCUGGGUUCUUCUCACCAAACAGUUCGGCUGGAGGGUUGGUGUCCUGCAUGAGCUAGUGGCCCAGCUUCACCGGCAAGAGGCAAUUCCCAAGGGCACUUGCGGGGCAUUCCUGUUCUCCUGCAGGACAGGUGGCCCCUGAAAGUGCCCUUUCCUCCCUAUAGCUGCGCUUGGGUCACCUGCCUGCCCUACCCUGUAGGUGACCAAAGCAUCUGUGAAGCACCGGCUGCCAUCCUCACACCAACACCUUCUCCUCGUGGCUCACAGCGGCAGGAGUUACUGCCACCUCAGAAGCUGGUGAAAGACCCAUUGGGCUCCUUCCCACAUGCUCGCAGCUGAGCCGCAGCCCAGGCGGUGACUCCUUUCGGGAACGGCCGAGGCCUCUCCUGCUCUCACCAAAGAUGCACAGAGCUGUCGGGGAGGACGACGUGCGUGCAUACGUUGCCAGCCAUCCGCCCGUCGUCCCUGCAGGCACCUUCCCUUUCAUCCCCCAGUGUCCCCAUAGCAAGGGAGGGUCCCAGUGUGGGCGGGAGGAAUCAUUCACCUUCCAUUGCCAUGCUCCAGCGCCCAGCCGAUGCCAUCUCUUCAACCAGUGCUGCUGGCUGUGAGGACCAUCAGCAUCCUGCUGAACUUUAUGAUAGUUUUGGCAUUCUGAAUGUGGCAUCAACAGUCUGUUGCAGUGCACUCGAGUAUAUAUUUCCAGCAACAACGGUAUGCAUAUAGAUCAUUGCUCUGACAUCAACUGCAUAGAGGUCUCCUCUCCCCCUCAAACACAAAAAUAAAUAAAAUAAAAUAUAAAAUACCCAGCUUGUUUAUAGCAGAAAUUGAAAUUCCACAUAUAAUCAAAAAGUUGGAUUUUGUCCUGCAGGCACUGGAUAAGUUUCUUCGUAUGAAUGUUUUGUAACUUUCUCUGGCCAAAAGAAAUGUGCAAAAUGUUGUAAUGUUUCUGUGCUCUCCUUUGGACAUUCCAGGCUUUUGCUUAAGCUUCUCAUAAAAGGCUAUUUUCAGCAGAGGGCGGAGAAAAAAAGCUUACAGUAUGCCGAGUCAAUAAAGUAAAGAAAAACCAUAAAACAUAGCAAUGAUAACAACAGAAGAUCUGUAGAUUACAAAAGAAAUAAGAUCGGGAUCAGACAGAGCAGUAGCUGGAAAUGAAUACACAAGAGCCAAAAUAAGACUGCUCCUAAUAAACAAAGUUGAAC